rnacentral:rRNA from 1 species
AGUGAACGCUGGCGGUAGGCCUAACACAUGCAAGUCGAACGGCAGCACAGUAAGAGCUUGCUCUUACGGGUGGCGAGUGGCGGACGGGUGAGGAAUACAUCGGAAUCUACUUUUUCGUGGGGGAUAACGUAGGGAAACUUACGCUAAUACCGCAUACGACCUACGGGUGAAAGCAGGGGAUCUUCGGACCUUGCGCGAUUGAAUGAGCCGAUGUCGGAUUAGCUAGUUGGCGGGGUAAAGGCCCACCCAGGCGACGAUCCGUAGCUGGUCUGAGAGGAUGAUCGGCCACACUGGAACUGAGACACGGUCCAUACUCCUACGGGAGGCAGCAGUGGGGAAUAUUGGACAAUGGGCGCAAGCCUGAUCCAGCCAUACCGCGUGGGUGGAGAAGGCCUUCGGGUUGUAAAGCCCUUUUGUUGGGAAAGAAAAGCAGCAGGUUAAUACCCCGCUGUUCUGACGGUACCCAAAGAAUAAGCACCGGCUAACUUCGUG